CCUACGGGAGGCAGCAGUGGGGAAUAUUGCGCAAUGGGCGCAAGCCUGAUCCAGCAACGCCGCGUGAAGGAAGAAGGCUUUCGGGUUGUAAACUUCUAUCGACAGGGAAGAGCAGAAGACGGUACCUGUCGAAUAAGCCACGGCUAACUACGUGCCAGCAGCCGGGGUAAGACGUAGGUGGCAAGCGUUGUCCGGAUUUACUGGGUGUAAAGGGCGUGUAGCCGGGAUGACAAGUCAGAUGUGAAAUCCGGGGGCUCAACCCCGGAACUGCAUUUGAAACUGUUGGUCUUGAGUGUCGGAGGGGCAGGCGGAAUUCCUGGUGUAGCGGUGAAAUGCGUAGAUAUUAGGAGGAACACCAGUGGCGAAGGCGGCCUGCUGGACGGCAACUGACGGUGAGGCGCGAAAGCGUGGGGAGCAAACAGGAUUAGAUACCCGAGUAGUC
rnacentral:rRNA from 1 species